GAGUUUGAUCCUGGUUCAGGAUGAACGCUGGCGGCGUGCUUAACACAUGCAAGUCGAACGAUUAAGACGGCUUCGGCCGUGUAUAGAGUGGCGAACGGGUGAGUAACACGUGACCAACCUGCCCCGCGCUCCGGGACAACCGCUGGAAACGGCGGCUAAUACCGGAUGCUCCGGGGAGGCCCCAUGGCCUCCCCGGGAAAGCCUUAACGGCGCGGGAUGGGGUCGCGGCCCAUUAGGUAGACGGCGGGGUGACGGCCCACCGUGCCGACAACGGGUAGCCGGGUUGAGAGACCGACCGGCCAGAUUGGGACUGAGACACGGCCCAGACUCCUACGGGAGGCAGCAGUGGGGAAUCUUGCGCAAUGGGGGGAACCCUGACGCAGCGACGCCGCGUGCGGGACGGAGGCCUUCGGGUCGUAAACCGCUUUCAGCAGGGAAGAGUCAAGACUGUACCUGCAGAAGAAGCCCCGGCUAACUACGUGCCAGCCGCCGCGGUAAUAC
rnacentral:rRNA from 1 species